AGAAUCAACGCUGGCGGCGUGCCUAACACAUGCAAGUCGAACGAGAAAGUGGAGCAAUCCAUGAGUAAAGUGGCGACCGGGUGAGUAACACGUGACCAAUCUACCCUUGAGUGGGGGAUAACCUCGGGAAACCGGGGCUAAUACCGCAUAAUAUCCUUGGAACGGAAGUACUGGGGAUCAAAGGAGCAAUUCGCUUAAGGAGGAGGUCGCGGCUGAUUAGCUAGUUGGCGGGGUAAUGGCCCACCAAGGCAAAGAUCGGUAGCCGGCCUGAGAGGGCGCACGGCCACACUGGAACUGAAACACGGUCCAGACUCCUACGGGAGGCAGCAGUGGGGAAUUUUUGCGCAAUGGGGGAAACCCUGACGCAGCAACGCCGCGUGGAGGAUGAAGUCCCUUGGGACGUAAACUCCUUUCGACCCGGACGAUAAUGACGGUACGGGUGGAAGAAGCCCCGGCUAACUUCGUGCCAGCAGCCGC
rnacentral:rRNA from 1 species